rnacentral:rRNA from 1 species
CUCGUAGGUGGCCAACUAAGUCAGACGUGAAAUCCCCCGGCUUAACCGGGGAACUGCGUCUGAUACUGGAUGGCUUGAGUUUGGGAGAGGGACGCGGAAUUCCAGGUGUAGCGGUGAAAUGCGUAGAUAUCUGGAGGAACACCGGUGGCGAAGGCGGCGUCCUGGACCAACACUGACACUGAUGAGCGAAAGCCAGGGGGAGCAAAACGG